UUAGGCAUGCAAGUCGACGGUAGGAUACUUUCGGGUAUCUGAGAGUGGCGAACGGGUGAGUAACACGUAGGUGAUCUACCCUCAAGAUUGGGACAACCCAGGGAAACUUGGGCUAAUACCGGAUGAAAGCAGCAGUGAUGUUGUUUGAAAGGCGGCGUAAGCUGCCGUUUGGGGAUGAGCCUGCGCUCUAUUAGUUAGUUGGCGGGGUAAAGGCCCACCAAGGCGAUGAUAGAUAGGCGGCCUUAACGGGUGGUCGCCCACACUGGGAUUGAGAUACGGCCCAGACUCCUACGGGAGGCAGCAGUCGAGAAUAGUCUACAAUGGCCGAAAGGCUGAUAGUGCGACGCCGCGUGAACGAAGAAGCCCUUCGGGGUGUAAAGUUCUUUUAUAUGUGAGCAGUGCUUUUCAUGUUAACAGCAUGGGGAGAGAGAUAUUAGCAUAUGAAUAAGCAACGGCUAACUCCGUGCCAGCAGCCGCGGUAACACGGGGGUUGCGAGCGUUGUCCGGAAUUACUAGGCGUAAAGGGCAGGCAGGCGGAUUUAUAAGUUUUCUGUUUAAGGCAACGGCUCACCCGUUGUAAGGCAGGAGAUACUGUAGAUCUGGAAUGCGGUUGGGGAAGACAGAAUUCCUGGUGUAGCGGUGGAAUGCGCAGAGAUCAGGAGGAAUACCGAAGGCGAAGGCAGUCUUCCAAGCCGUAAUUGACGCUGAACUGCGAAGGUGUGGGUAUCAAACAGGAUUAGAUACCCUGGUAGUCCACACAGUAAACGAUAAUCACUGGGUGUCGGGUUCGAAGAGGAUUCGGUACCGUAGCUAACGCGAUAAGUGAUUCGCCUGGGGAGUACGAUCGCAUGUG
rnacentral:rRNA from 1 species